UACGUAGGGGGCGAGCGUUGUCCGGAUUCAUUGGGCGUAAAGAGCUCGUAGGCGGUUCGAUAAGUCAGGUGUAAAAACUCCAGGCUCAACUUGGAGAGGCCACCUGAUACUGUCGUGACUAGAGUCCGGUAGAGGAGCACGGAAUUCCUGGUGUAGCGGUGAAAUGCGCAGAUAUCAGGAGGAACACCAGCGGCGAAGGCGGUGCUCUGGGCCGGAACUGACGCUGAGGAGCGAAAGCGUGGGGAGCGAACAGG
rnacentral:rRNA from 1 species